CCUCACAGUUCACUGCCGUGGUAUUUCUUCUGUCCCAUGCUUUGCAUGACUGCCAUGGUACAGCCUUGUUUCAAACUGUUCACUGUGAUCUGUGGGUCUUUGAGUUUCAGUGAGUUUGCUGAAAUGUCGAAGAAGUAGUUCCAAACUUCAAUGUUCAAUGAAAUUUUUGUUCAAGUUUGAAAUGGAGAGAGCAGCUUUAAAAGGUACUAAGCCUUUUACAAAUUGAUGUGGAAGAUGUGAAAUUUGUCAUCAAUUAUGACUACCCUAACUCCUCAGAGGAUUAUAUUCAUCGAAUUGGAAGAACUGCUCGCAGUACCAAAACAGGCACAGCAUACACUUUCUUUACACCUAAUAACAUAAAGCAAGUGAGCGACCUUAUCUCUGUGCUUCGUGAAGCUAAUCAAGCAAUUAAUCCCAAGUUGCUUCAGUUGGUCGAAGACAGAGGUUCAGGUCGUUCCAGGGGUAGAGGAGGCAUGAAGGAUGACCGUCGGGACAGAUACUCUGCGGGCAAAAGGGGUGGAUUUAAUACCUUUAGAGACAGGGAAAAUUAUGACAGAGGUUACUCUAGCCUGCUUAAAAGAGAUUUUGGGGC
rnacentral:sRNA from 1 species